UGAAACUAUUUUGUUCUUAUCUAGUCCUUGUUCUUUAUUGGUUUUAAUAAACUACAAAUAAGGCCUUUACCUACCAAUUAACCAUAGUUAAUAAGUUUGUAUGCUAGAUCAGUACUUCCUUUAACAUUUGCUCGUCUCCGUUUGCUCAGUUCUUCCUGAGGUGGAGUCUCUCACCAUUUCUGUGAAAAUGUGCUGCUGUUGGGACCAGCUCUUUACUGCAGACCAAGCUGUGACAUCCACAUGGAUUUAAAAAGCCAAGAACUACAACACAGCUCUCAUGGCUUCCCUGUAAACAUGUGAUUAUAUUACACAACCAUGUCUACCUCGGACUUUGAGUACACUAAGCUGAGAUGGUUCCUAACCAUAGCCGGAUUGUUCCUAUACGCUGCAGACAUUUGGACGGACAUUUGUCUCACACUAACAUAUUACCAACAAGAGCAUUAUUUAUGGGCUGGGCUGACCCUUGCUUUCAUUUUGACUGGACUGCUGGUUGCUCAGAUCUUCAGUUUUGCUUGGUACUGGGAUGACAUGAAUGACUUUUUUAUAAAUCCAAAUGGAAAAGCAACCAAAGCCGGCCUGUCCAAAAGAGGACUGGGUGCACUUCACUUUUUUGGCCUGGGAAUCUUCACCAGGUAAAUUACAGUAAUUAAGUGAGCAAUAUUUCAACACUGCCAUGAUCAGUGUUUCUCAAAUUGUGGUGUGGGCCCCUUUAGUUGUAAAUGGAGAUGUAUACGGGGUCCUUAACAUUUCUAGUUCUUGUUGGAUUUUUAGUAUAUUUUAAUUCUAUUUUUAUCAUAUGUCAAGGGUU